rnacentral:rRNA from 1 species
GUAGGUGGCAAGCGUUGUCCGGAAUUAUUGGGCGUAAAGCGCGCGCAGGCGGUUCUUUAAGUCUGAUGUGAAAGCCCACGGCUCAACCGUGGAGGGUCAUUGGAAACUGGAGAACUUGAGUACAGAAGAGGAAAGCGGAAUUCCACGUGUAGCGGUGAAAUGCGUAGAGGUGUGGAGGAACACCAGUGGCGAAGGCGGCUUUCUGGUCUGUAACUGACGCUGAGGCGCGAAAGCGUGGGGAGCAAACAGGGAUUAGAUACCCUGGUAGUCCACGCCGUAAACGAUGAGUGCUAAGUGUUAGGGGGGUUUCCGCCCCCUUAGUGCUGCAGCUAACGCAUUAAGCACUCCGCCUGGGGAUACGGCCGCAAGGCUG